CUAGAGCUGAGUAGCCAUGUGUAAUGGUAAACAGCUUGCCUCUGUGGGCAAGGAGCCUGGAGGCUGAUAUUCGGUAAACCUGAUCUGACUUAUCCCUUAUCACGUGAUGAAGAUCUUGGCUGCCACUUUUGUGGUUGAGAAGCAAAGUGACUCACUCUGCAUUUUCACUACGUGCACACACCACAGAUGGUUGAAUCAUUCUCUAAUGUUGAAGAUCUUGGCUUCAACAAACUGCGGGUAAGGA